rnacentral:rRNA from 1 species
AUUGAACGCUGGCGGCAUGCUUUACACAUGCAAGUCGAACGGUAACAGGCCUUCGGGUGCUGACGAGUGGCGAACGGGUGAGUAAUGCAUCGGAACGUGCCCAAUCGUGGGGGAUAACGUAGCGAAAGUUACGCUAAUACCGCAUAAGCCCUGAGGGGGAAAGUGGGGGACCGCAAGGCCUCACGCGAAUGGAGCGGCCGAUGUCAGAUUAGCUAGUUGGUGGGGUAAAGGCCCACCAAGGCGACGAUCUGUAGCGGGUCUGAGAGGAUGAUCCGCCACACUGGGACUGAGACACGGCCCAGACUCCUACGGGAGGCAGCAGUGGGGAAUUUUGGACAAUGGGCGGCAAGCCUGAUCCAGCCAUGCCGCGUGCGGACGAAGGCCUGGUGUACGACUUCGUCGGAGAAUACGNAC